rnacentral:rRNA from 1 species
UACGGAGGGGGCUAGCGUUGUUCGGAAUUACUGGGCGUAAAGCGCGCGUAGGCGGCUUUGUAAGUUAGAGGUGAAAGCCCGGAGCUCAACUCCGGAACUGCCUUUAAGACUGCAUCGCUAGAAUUGUGGAGAGGUGAGUGGAAUUCCGAGUGUAGAGGUGAAAUUCGUAGAUAUUGGAAGAACACCAGUGGCGAGGCGACUCACUGGACACAUAUUGACGCUGAGGUGGCGAAAAGCGUGGGGAGCAAACAGG